rnacentral:rRNA from 1 species
ACAAGCGGUGGAGUAUGUGGUUUAAUUCGAUGCAACGCGAAGAACCUUACCAGGGUUUGACAUCCUGCGAAUCUCCUGGAAACGGGAGAGUGCCUUCGGGAACGCAGUGACAGGUGGUGCAUGGCUGUCGUCAGCUCGUGUCGUGAGAUGUUGGGUUAAGUCCCGCAACGAGCGCAACCCUCGUCCUAUGUUGCCAGCACGUAAUGGUGGGAACUCAUGGGAGACUGCCGGGGUCAACUCGGAGGAAGGUGGGGAUGACGUCAAAUCAUCAUGCCCCUUAUGUCUUGGGCUUCACGCAUGCUACAAUGGCCGGUACAGAGGGCUGCAAUAUCGUAAGAUGGAGCGAAUCCCACAAAGCCGGUCUCAGUUCGGAUUGAGGUCUGCAACUCGACCUCAUGAAGUUGGAGUCGCUAGUAAUCGUGGAUCAGCAACGCCACGGUGAAUACGUUCCCGGGCCUUGUACACACCGCCCGUCAAGUCAUGAAAGUCGGUAACACCCGAAGCCGGUGGCCUAACCUUUUGGAAGGAGCCGUCGAAGGUGGGAUCGGUGAUUAGGACUAAGUCGUAACAAGGUAACC